rnacentral:rRNA from 1 species
UACGUAGGGUGCGAGCGUUAAUCGGAAUUACUGGGCGUAGAGCGUGCGCAGGCGGUUUUGUAAGUCAGAUGUGAAAUCCCCGGGCUUAACCUGGGAACUGCGUUUGAAACUACAAGGCUAGAGUGUGGCAGAGGGGGGUGGAAUUCCACGUGUAGCAGUGAAAUGCGUAGAGAUGUGGAGGAACACCGAUGGCGAAGGCAGCCCCCUGGGUUAACACUGACGCUCAGGCACGAAAGCGUGGGGAGCAAACAGG